UAUCAAACGCAAUUAUCGAUCGAAGGGGA
rnacentral:miRNA from 1 species